CGCGCUGCGUGUUAGAUUUGCCUGGUCAUCCAGCGAUGACAUGCGAGGAAGCCGGUGCGAUUCCGGCACGGUCCCGCCACUGUGAUCUGCUCCCCGCGAAGCAGCAGUCAGACACUCGCGCAUCGCUGAUCCCCGGC
rnacentral:ncRNA from 2 species